AUUGAACGCUGGCGGCAUGCUUUACACAUGCAAGUCGAACGGCAGCGCGGGCUUCGGCCUGGCGGCGAGUGGCGAACGGGUGAGUAAUGCAUCGGAACGUGCCCAGUAGUGGGGGAUAGCCCGGCGAAAGCCGGAUUAAUACCGCAUACGACCUGAGGGUGAAAGCGGGGGACCGAAAGGCCUCGCGCUAUUGGAGCGGCCGAUGUCGGAUUAGCUAGUUGGUGGGGUAAAGGCUUACCAAGGCGACGAUUCGUAGCUGGUCUGAGAGGACGACCAGCCACACUGGGACUGAGACACGGCCCAGACUCCUACGGGAGGCAGCAGUGGGGAAUUUUGGACAAUGGGGGCAACCCUGAUCCAGCCAUGCCGCGUGCGGGAAGAAGGCCUUCGGGUUGUAAACCGCUUUUGUUCGGGAAGAAAUCCUCUGGGCUAAUACCCCGGGGGGAUGACGGUACCGGAAGAAUAAGCACCGGCUAACUACGCG
rnacentral:rRNA from 1 species